AGGAAAUAGUGGGUGUUACAAUAAAAUAGUAUGAUUGAAAGCUCUAAGAUAGUAGCUGAUUAAAAGAAUUCUAACACAACUAUCUAGAGAUCUAUUCAAAUAAUUGGCUAGUAAAAUUGAAAAAAGAGGGCAAUAAAGUCAUCCACUAUAAGAGCCUUGGAAGGAUUGAUAGAGAAGACUACUUGUUUAAUUUCCUUAAUGGAAACUAGACAAAUUAGCUGAAGAUUUAUUGCUU
rnacentral:misc_RNA from 1 species